AUCUGUCUUGCUGGGAACUAAUAUCAUCAGUGGGAUUCACACCGACUAUGGUUUGUUAUCUUUGAUUAAUCAAGAUGAUGAUAUUACUGCACUUGAGGUGAAUGGAUACCUGCUACUCCAAUUCCCGGAACAUUUGUUUGCAACAUCGGUGACAUGUUGAAGAUAUGGUCCAAUGGCAUAUACGAGGCAACCCUGCACCGAGUAAUAAACAAUUUUCCAAAAUAUCGAGUCUCGGGAGAUGUAGAUGCGGUGGUGGAGCCACUGGAGAUGUGGUGGAAAACAGAUAAAUGAGAGAGCUGUUUAUGGAGAGCAAGACCAACUAUAUUUUGUAGGAUCCCAUCCACUUCAUGCGUUCGUCAACUAUAUUCAUCUUUCAUUUACCUACUUUUGUCCUAUCAUUUAUCCAUAAUAUUAAUAAAAUUUCUAAUUAAAUGUCAA